rnacentral:rRNA from 1 species
GACGUAGGGCGCGAGCGUUGUCCGGAUUUAUUGGGCGUAAAGAGCUCGUAGGCGGCUUGUCGCGUCGACCGUGAAAACUUGGGGCUCAACCCCAAGCCUGCGGUCGAUACGGGCAGGCUCGAGUUCGGUAGGGGAGACUGGAAUUCCUGGUGUAGCGGUGAAUGCGUAGAUAUCUGGAGGAACACCGGUGGCGAAGGCGGCAUCCUGGACCGAUAUUGACGCUGAUGCGCGAAAGCCAGGGAGCAAACGGGAUUAGAUACCCGAGUAGUCCAACGAACAUCGUCUCUCGAUACC